UCCCUGGUGGCUCAGACGGUAAAGCGUCUGCAUAUAACGCAGGAGACCCAGGUUCAAUCCCUAGGUCGGGAA
rnacentral:tRNA from 1 species